rnacentral:lncRNA from 1 species
ACCUCCAGCCAUCGCUAUCCAUCUCCUCCCCGGCCAAAGGCCAAAGGCCAAAAGCCAAAGGCCAAAUCCCAAAUCCCAUAUCCCAAAUCCCCAAUCCCAAAUCCCCAAUCCCAAAUCCCAAAUCCCCGCCUCCAUUGCUAACAUCAGAGCACAGCAAGCCGUACGUGUGCAGAAGCAUCCCAGAUUCCUAUGGCUCUGUAGCGGUGCGCUAAAGAGGGCCUCGGUCCUACAGCCUCACGGCAGGAACUUGGCAAACAAGGAGCUUCUCACGGGACUGCUCACUUGCAUCCACUGCCAUCGCAUCCACAGCCCGCAGCCCGCAGCCGUCGGGUGAAGCCCUCAAG